AGCUCCAAUAGCGUAUAUUAAAGUUGUUGCAGUUAAAAGCUCGUAGUUGGAUUUCUGGUCUGAUGCCCUGGCCCGCGCCUUAUAGGUGUGUGUGCCGGCUGUGCGUCUGCCAUCCUUCUAGUAACCCUUCCUACCCUUCACUGGGCCGGGUUGGUGAUCUAGAUCUUUUACUUUGAAAAAUUAGAGUGUUUAAAGCAGGCUUUUGCUAUGAAUACAUUAGCAUGGAAUAAUAAUCUAGGACUUCGGUUCUAUUUUGUUGGUUUCUAGUACUGAAGUAAUGAUUGAUAGGGAUAGUUGGGGGUGCUAGUAUUGAGCGGCCAGAGGUGAAAUUCUUGGAUUCGCUCAAGACUAACUUAUGCGAAAGCAUUCACCAAGGAUGUCUUCUUUAAUCAAAGAACGA
rnacentral:rRNA from 1 species